rnacentral:lncRNA from 1 species
AGGAAACACUUCUUUACAGAAAGGGUUGUUAAGCAGUGGAAUAGGCUCCUCAGGGAGGUGGUUGAGUCACCAUUCCUGGAUGUGUUUAAAAACCGUCUGGAUGUGGUGCUCAGGGACAUGAUUUAGCAGAGGGUUGUUAGAGUUAGGGUAGUAGGGUUAGGUUGUGGUUCGACUUGAUGAUCUUCAAGGUCUUUUCCAACCUGAGUAAUUCUAUGAUUCUAUAUCUGCUCUGAAAAUGAGUGAAUCUCUCUGGAUUAAUAAUUUACCAUUUAGUCUUGGUUCCAUUUUGUAUUUUCUCCCCAGUGUUCACAGUGGACAAACAUUGUAGCAGUGUCAUCCAGAGGUGUGCACAGCAGGAUCUGGGAAAGGAGUGAGUAGGAAAGUGCCAAAUGUGAAGGGUGCUCAGUUACUUGGGAUGAUGAGUACUAAGGUCGUGACUCUAAAAUGUAGAGCAGCACGUGGUGAAAAGGAGCUUUAAUUGUGUGAGUGCAGUGGCCUGUAAAAUAGCUCUUACUUUGUGAGAGAGCUCAGAAUCAUUAAGAAGGAAGCUCUGCAGUAAAUCUGAAUGUGAGAAGCCUAUCGUGGUUUGCUGUUGUCAAGUAGGUUUGAGCAUUUGAAACGUGAACAUGCAAAAGCAUGCAGUCAGGUAAGGGAUGAAGUUCAGAUCUGGUAUUUAAUGAGAAAGGAAUUCUUCUUCAACACUGCCAAGUGUUAUCUUGGAAAGCAAAGCCCUAAGAAGACUGCAGCUAUUUCCUGCCUACAACCACAGGGCCCCUUUCCUCAGGACAAUGAGGAACUGAUGCUUAUAAUGCUCCUUGUUUUCAAAUCUUCUGCUCUUUUUCUUUUUUUUUUUCUUUUUAAUCCAAAUAAUCUGUUGUUCUUUGCAUUAUGUUUUUCUCAGAUAGCUGGGAAUAUCCUUCUCAAGUUGUGACUAGUUAGGCUUUUUAAGGGUUCUCAGUAACUUCUCAGUGCACAAACACCGGCUGGAUAUUUGAACUAGAUCAAACGGGGGAGGAGUGGAAAUAGUGGUGUGAGAUGGUGAUGAGAACUGAACUGUGCCUGACAAGCUGUGGAAGUUCAGCACUGUCUUUCUUUCUCCCGGGCAUUCUGUGUAUUCCCUAAUAUAGUCAAUAAAGAUGUUUGUGUUUGCCAACCUAAUAUCGCUCUUCUGUUGCAAGAUAUCAUAGGUGUUUAGACCGAGUUCAGUGUUCGCAAAGAAACUGGAUUUUGACCAUCCACUGACCUCCUGUUUUCCCUAAGCAAGAGUGGGAUCACUAAGUCAAACCUAUUAUUCCCACUAGACUAACCCACACACAUGAGACCCACUGACUUCUGCAACACACUCGCAGCACCAGAAGCUGUGUGUGUUUUUGAAGCUAGGAGCAAAGAGGUUUUGUUUGUUUUUCAUAACCAAAGUUCACAUUCAGAUUUGUGCAGAAAAGUGUAGAAAAGUGUAACUUUUUCUAAAUGCGCUGUUUACGUGUUCUGAACCAUCUGAUUAAUGAAAUAAACCUAUCAAAUCCAUG